rnacentral:miRNA from 1 species
AGCAUGAUUGCAGGACUAUAUGGUAAGAGUAUUUUUAGUUUUGCAAGAAAUGACAAAACCAUCUUCCAAAGUAGCUGUACCAUUUUGCAUUUCCAUCAGUAAU